AGGUGAUGAGUAAUUUCCUAGGAAUGUUUCAGGUCGCUUGAUGCUAGGUUGAGUUUACUGUUUUGUCUUCCAUUAUUAUUUCUUUUUUCCUCUGAGUCCCCGCUUCAUGGAUAAUAGGUCCCAGUUGAAGAUGAGGGAGUACAAGCUAGUUGUACUAGGCAGUGGUGGCGUAGGUAAAAGUGCCCUGACUGUGCAGUUUGUACAGAAUAUAUUUGUGGAAAAAUAUGACCCAACUAUUGAAGACAGCUACAGAAAGCAAGUGGAAGUAGACGGACAACAAUGCAUGUUGGAAAUUCUGGAUACUGCUGGAACGGAACAAUUCACAGCCAUGAGAGACUUAUACAUGAAAAACGGCCAAGGAUUUCUACUGGUAUAUUCCAUCACAGCUCAGUCUACGUUUAACGACCUUCAGGAUCUACGAGAACAGAUAUUACGUGUCAAGGACACAGAUGAUGUACCCAUGAUUCUGGUAGGAAAUAAAUGUGACUUAGAAGAUGAGCGGGUUGUAGGAAAGGACCAAGGAAUGGGAUUAGCCCGACACUUCAACUGUGAAUUCAUGGAGACCUCGGCAAAAAAGAAAGUUAAUGUGAAUGAGGUUUUUUGUGGCUUGGUUAGAUUAAUAAAUAAACGCACCCCGGCACCCGGAAAAACGCCAGGAUCAGGGAACAAAAAGUCCUGUGUGGUCCUGUAGGCUGCUGUAGGCUGGGUGAGGCAAGUGGAACACCUCGGGGCUUAACUAGAGACCCAAGGUGUUCCAAAGGAUUCUGAGGCAUGCUUUUCUUGUGAUGAUGUUUGUGGAGCUCUGUCUCUUUAUAUAGGCUGGUACCUGUCUCUGCUUUGAUUGGACAUUUCAGCGUCUGAUAGAUUGAUGAUGAAAUCCCUGCUUGUCAUUGUGUGAUCUGUCAGUGUCGUAGUGUUGUAUUUCAGCAUUUGUAGGCUUGGCUAUGAUCCUACCCAUUACCUUACAUAUAUAGCAUUAUAAUGUACCAGCUUUUAAUUCCAACAAAAAGUCAAACCUCGUUUUCACCUUCUGCAGAUUUAAUACAAGCUUGAGCAUUCCAAUAGUUAUGGUCCUAUAAAUUGAUUGUAUGAGUUAUUCCCCUUUAUCUGUGCCGUGAGUUUUGAUGAUAUAUAGUGUUUGUUGUGUAUAGGGAGUGUGUUUGGAGGGGGAGGGGGUCUGUAUACAGAUUGAUUAGUUUACUAUCAUACAGGCAUGUUACAGUGUAUAUUCCCUCUCUGUGUCUUGCUGUUUUGUUAUCUUUCAUGGCAUCCACUAAAUCCUAAUCUUACAUCAGGGGAUUGUACAAUUGUACAUAUCAUACUCUGUUUCGUGUGUUACACCUCAACAAGAGGAAUCAGGGACCAGUAACUUCUGAUAUCUUUGUCUAUCGUUGACACUUCCCAUCUCUUUUUUUGUGUCAACACGUGUCAUUUAUUGUUUAGGCCGGUAUAUAUAUAUAUAUAUAUAUAUGUAUAGAGAGAGAGAGAGAGAGAGAGCAUAUGUAUGCAUAUGUAUGCAUGCAAUGAAACAUGUCUCCUCCAACAUGCUUUUGGGGUCAGAGAGAAAUCUUGUAUCCAAUUAGAUAGGAGAUCAGAGAGAAAUCUUGUAUCCGACGAUUAGAUAGGAGGUCGGAGAAAUCUUGUAUCCGAUUAGAUAGGAGGUCGGAUAAAUCUUGUGUCCGGUUAGAUAGGAGAACAGAGAUAUCUUGUAUCUGAUUAGAUAGGGGGUAAAAAAGGUUAGGAUUCAGAAUAAACAUAUUAGAUAGUUUAAACUGUAUACAGGUAAACAGAUAUAGAAUAAGACUGACUAUUUAUGAUUUUUAAAUGGUUAGUGAUAGGGAUUUCAUAUUUCACACUUGCUUUCCUUGUGACAGUACCUUUCUUUGCUGUCAUGUGAGGGCAUCAGUGUUUCACAAACACAUCUUUUCUGUGGAAGCUGUAACCUUGAUCGAUGACCAUUGUUCAUUAGUGAGGAUGCAAUUAUGAAGCAGCAUUGUUUCCACUGUGAACUUUGACCUUCAAAUGCAUUGUUAUUGUGUCCCCUAUGCAAAGUUUGGAAACAUAUCAAUUUUACUCAGUCUCUUCUAAUUUUUUAUGUACUUUUUUAGCUCACCUGAGCUGAAAGCUCAAGUGAGCUUUUCUGAUCACCCGUACUCCGGCGUCCGUCCGUCCGUCUGUCCGUCUGUAAACUUUUCACAUUUUCAACUUCUUCUCAACAACCACUGGGCCAAUUUCAACCAAAGUUGGCACAAAACAUCCUUAGGUAAAGGGAAUUCUAAAUUGUUAAUAUAAAGGGCCAGGCCACCUUCCAAGGGGAGAUAAUCAAGAAAAGGUAAAAAUAGGGUAGGGUCAUUAAAAAAUCUUCUUCUCAAGAACCACUGGGCCAGAAAAGAUGAAAUUUAUAGAUAAGCUUUAUUAGGUAGUGCAGAUUCUAAAUUGUUAAAAUCAUGGCCCCCGGGGGUCGGAUGGGGCCACAAUAGGGGGUCAAAGUUUUACAUACAAAUAUAUAGGGAAAAUCUUUAAAAAUCUUCUUCUCAAGAACCACUGAGCCAGAAAAGCUGAGAUUUAUAUGAAAGCUUCCUUAUAUAAUGCAGAUUCUAAAUUGUUAAAAUCAUGGCCCCCGGGGGUCGGAUGGGGCCACAAUAGGGGGUCAAAGUUUUACAUACAAAUAUAUAGGGAAAAUCUUUAAAAAUCUUCUUCUCAAGAACCACUGAGCCAGAAAAGCUGAGAUUUAUAUGAAAGCUUCCUUAUAUAAUGCAAAUUCUAAAUUGUUAAAAUCAUGGCCCCCGGGUGUCGGAUGGGGCCACAAUAGGGGGUCAAAGUUUUACAUACAAAUAUAUAGGGAAAAUCUUUAAAAAUCUUCUUCUCAAGAACCACUGAGCCAGAAAAGCUGAGAUUUAUAUGAAAGCUUCCUUAUAUAAUGCAGAUUCUAAAUUGUUAAAAUCAUGGCCCCCGGGGGUCGGAUGGGGCCACAAUAGGGGGUCAAAGUUUUACAUACAAAUAUAUAGGGAAAAUCUUUAAAAAUCUUCUUCUCAAGAACCACUGAGCCAGAAAAGCUGAGAUUUAUAUGAAAGCUUCCUUAUAUAAUGCAGAUUCUAAAUUGUUAAAAUCAUGGCCCCCGGGGGUCGGAUGGGGCCACAAUAGGGGAUCAAAGUUUUACAUACAAAUAUAUAGGGAAAAUCUUUAAAAAUCUUCUUCUCAAGAACCACUGAGCCAGAAAAGCUGAGAUUUAUAUGAAAGCUUCCUUAUAUAAUGCAAAUUCUAAAUUGGUAAAAUCAUGGCCCCCGGGGGUCGGAUGGGGCCACAAUAGGGGGUCAAAAUUUUACAUACAAAUAUAUAGGGAAAAUCUUUAAAAAUCUUCUUCUCAAGAACCACUGAGCCAGAAAAGCUGAGAUUUAUAUGAAAGCUUCCUUAUAUAAUGCAGAUUCUAAAUUGUUAAAAUCAUGGCCCCCGGGGGUCGGAUGGGGCCACAAUAGGGGAUCAAAGUUUUACAUACAAAUAUAUAUGAAAAAUCUUUAAAAAUCUUCUUCUCAAGAACCACUGAGCCAGAAUAGCUGAAAUUUAUAUGAAAGCUUCCUUAUAUAAUGCAGAUUCUAAAUUGUUAAAAUCAUGGCCCCCAGGGGUCGGAUGGGGCCACAAUAAGGGGUCAAAGUUGUUUGGGUUUUUUUUUCUUUUUUUUUUUUCUUUUUGUUUUUUUUUAUAUAGUGCAGAUUCAAGUUCGUUAAAAUCAUGGACCCCAGGGAUUGAAUGGGGCCUCAAGGGGGGCAUCAAAGUUUUACAUACAAAUUUAUAGGAAUAAUCUUUUAAAAUCUUCUCAAGAACCACUGAACCAGAAAAGCUGAGAUUUAUAUGAAAGCUUCCUGAUAUAGUGCAGAUUAUAAAUUGCUAAGAUCAUGGCCCCCGGGGGUCGGAUGGGGCCACAAUAGGGGGUCAAAGUUUUACAUACAAAUAUAUAGAAAAAAUCUUUAAAAAUCUUCUUCCCAGAACCACUAAGCCAGAAAAGCUGAGAUUUAUAUGAAAGCUUUCUGAUAUAUAGUACAGAUUCUAAAUUGUUAAAAUCCUGGCCCCUGGGGGUCAGAUGGGGCCACAAUAGGGGAUCAAAGUUUUACAUACAAAUAUAUAUGAAAAAUCUUUAAAAAUCUUCUUCUCAAGAACCACUAAGCCAGAAAAGUUACAUUUUCAUGAAAGCUUUCUGACAUAGUGCAGAUUCAAGUUUGUUCAAAUCAUGGCCCCUGGGGUAGGAUGGGGCUACAAGGGGGGAUCAAAGUUUUUCAUACAAAUAUAUAGGGACAUUCUUUUAGAAUCUUCUUCUCAAGAACCACUGAGUCUGAAAAGCUGAUAUUCACAUGAACAGCUUCCUAACAUAGAGCAGAGCUAAGUUUGUUCAAAUCAUGGCCCCCUGUUGUAGGAUGGGGCCACAAUAGGGGAUCAAAAUUUUACAUACAAAUAUAUAGGAAUUUUUUUUUAAAAAUCUUCUUCUCAAGAACCACUGAGCCAGAAAAGCUGAUAUUUACAUGAAAGCUUUCUGAUAUAGUGCAGAUUCAAGUUUGUUCAAAUCAUGGCCCCUGGGGGUAGGAUGGGGCCACAAGGGGGGAUCAAAGUUUUACAUACAAAUAUAUAGGAAAAAUCUUCAAAUAUCUUCUUCUCGUGAACCAUUGGGCCAAAGAAGUUCACAUUUACAAGAAAAAUUUCUGACAUAGUGUAGAUUCAAGUUUGCGAAAACUAUGGCCUCCAGGGGUAGAUUGGGGCCAUGAUAAGGACUACGGUUUUACAUGCAAAUAUAUAUAGAAAGUCUUCUGAUAUGGACCAAGAUGACUCAGGUGAGCGAUGUGGCCCAUGGGCCUCUUGUUUUGUAUGGAAGUGUUCUCAGAAACUACACAAGGGAUUCAGAUGAAACCUUCCUUGGAUGUUAGUAUAUCAUUUGUAGAUGUGCAGCAAGAACAUAUUUUGUCUGAACAUGCAUGCGCAUUGGAUUUUUAGGUCACGGUAACCUGAGUUUACUCAGGUGACCUAUUAUAAUUGGUUGUCGUCCUUCGUCAUGUGUUAGCAAUUGAACAUUUUUAACUUCUUCAUAACUACUAUUGCAAUUCUUUUCAAAUUUGGUUUGAAGCAUCUUUGGGACAAAGAUUGUAAGUUUCAGGAUUCCUGGAGUCCUAAGGGCGGGGCAAAAACUGCCCAAAAUUGACCAUUUUUCAAAAAUCCUCUUCUCUAUAACCACACAUGUUUAAGAAAAACUAAAUGCAUAGUGAUGCAGAGCAGGAAGGCCUCUACCAAAAUUGUAAAUUUUAUGAUUCCUGAGGUAGGGGUUCUAACCCCAGUGAAGGGCCAAACUUACUAUAUAGUGUUUAUGUGUAAAACACUUAAAUAACAUCUUUUUUAGUGCUAAUGAUACUAAAUUGAAAGUAAAUAGAUAUUUAGAAAGAACAGGUAGUCCUUUACCAAAAUUGUAAAUUUGAGGAUCCCAGGGCUAGGGAUUUUGGUAUCAGGGUGGGAUCAAAAUGGUCAGUUAUGAAAUGUGUGAACACUAGAAAUUUUUGACUUCUUGAUAACUAAUAUUCCAAUUCUUUUCAAAUUUGGUAUGAAGCAUUGUUGGAACAAGGGGGGACAUAGAUUGUAAAUUUCAGGAUUCCUGCACUCCUGGGGCCUUAGUGGCUUGGCAAAAACUACCCAAAAUUGACCAAUUUUCAAAAAUCUUCUCUAGAACCGCACAUGUUUAAGAAAAAACUAAAUGAAUAAUGAUGUAGAGCAGGAAGGCCUCUUCUAAAAUUGUAAAUUUCAUGAUCCCUUGGGUAGGGGUUCUGACCCCAGGGUGGUGCCAAACUUGCUAUAUAGUAUUUAUGUGUAAAUUUGCUGAUAGUGUAUAAAAUCUAAAUGCAUACUUAGGAAUAGCAGAAAAGGAUGUACAAAAAAUGGUGAAUGUCACAACCCAGGGUUUUGACUCUAGGAUGGGUCCAAAUUAGUCAUCUCUUUUAAUGUUAAUACAUCUAUUAUAUUAUGUAAAGCCUUCCAUCAGUGUAUGCACUUUUUAGGGCAUUGAAGUUUUAAGAACACAUCAAGCUUGUUUUAUGCUGUUGUUGAAAAAAAAAUUCUCUAGUUUUUAUAACCCUUGGGAGUAGUAAUACCUUUUCUCUAUUACUCAGGUGACUGAUAAGGCCUGUGGGCCUCUUGUUGGUACACUGCCUUUGGAAUCUGUCAACUUCGUUUUUCAAUGAAAUCAUAUGUAAAUUGUAUCAUACUGGAAAGAUUUUGAAGAGAUGAACAGAGGCAGAGCAAAACUAAUGGAUCCACCCCCAUAAAUGUGACAUCAUUUCGAUUGUGACCAUAGUCAUGUGAUCAUCUUUAGUGACCGUAGUCAAAUGAUGGAAACGAUUUCUCCACAGAUCUAAGGGACACAACUCCAAUGACUGUUCAUCAUAUUGCUGAAGGGGGACUAAUAAAUAUUUAAUUCUGUAUAUACAUGUAUAAACCAUACAACAUGCUUGGAGAUAGGUGUCCAGUAGGCUGGGGAAUUUCAUUGUGCUAGCUUUUGCAAGGUUUCUUGUGUUGUACUAAAGUUGUUCCAAAUUCAGGCAAACUUUCUACAUCUUCAACGUUCAGAGGUCAGAUCUUUACAGUCAUCACCAAAACCUGUAUAGAUUUCUGUAGAAAGUCAGACUCCCUGUGAUUGUAGUAAUGUGUGAGUAAUCGCUCACACAGAUUUACAGACAGACAGACGGAUACAUAUAUAUAUAGACAGAUACAUGCAAAUAGACAGACACGCACAGACUCGUGGGCACAUGUACACAGAAAAUAAAUUACAGACAUUUAUUGCUUUUGCUCUCGGAAUCACCCUGUAUGGAGAGGUUUUGGUGAUGACUGCCUAUGACUGGUUUUAACCAGUUACAGCCGGUAGAUUGUAUCUGUGGUGGUUUUCAGUGAUCCAAGCUUCUUGAUCUGCCUUCAUUUUCUUCACGCUGUAUGUCAUAUUUUUAGUCUUGAAUCCAAACAAUAAUCUGUACUGUCAUAAUUUGUAUGUUAAAUUGUAUGAUAAUAGUGAGUUUUGUAUAACUGGGCAUAAAUCGGUAUACAGCUACAUAGAAUUAUUUGUCAGCAUAGAUAUUUCUAUUUAAAACUUUCCUAACUUAUGAACUCAGCUGAGGGGAAAAUUUGGAUAGGGGAUUUUGUUUUCUUUUGAACAAGGCAUAAGAUGAAGUGGUAGUUUAAAUUUGUACUUCUCUAAAUCAUCCUUUGUAUUUUCCCAUAAUUCCUUUGGAUGUGACUGUGGAUUCUAUCUAUUUGAAUGUUUUUAUAUGGAUGACACUGAUAGACUUUAUGCUGUAUGUUAUCUAUUAAUAAAUUUGAUAAUAAAAAGUGCUUACAGUC